rnacentral:RNase_P_RNA from 2 species
CGAGCAAGUCAGAUGAUCGCGUGGGCAUGUUCCGCAAGGACGCUCACGAGGAAAGUCCGAGCUCCAUAGGGCAGGGUGCCGGGUAACCCCCGGUGGAGGCAACUCCAAGGAAAGUGCAACAGAAAGGAAACCGCCCGGCGCAUAACAAUGUAUAUCUACGAUAACUUUAUUUAUAUAAUAUCUGAAUUAAAAAUUCAAUAACAUUGUAUGUAAGUUAUACAUUUUUAUGCGUCGGGUAAGGAUGAAAGGGUGAGGUAAGAGCUCACCGGCGAUCAGGUAACUGAUCGGCUAUGUAAACCCCACCUGGUGCAAGACCAAGUUAGGACAAAAAAAGCAGUGGCCCGCUGUGUCCAAUGGUAGGUCGCUUGAGCCUUUCGGUGACGGAAGGCCUAGAUAGAUGGUCAUCUAAUACAGAACUCGGCUUACAGACUAGCUCGCUCU